rnacentral:rRNA from 1 species
GAGGGGCAGUGUUAGUCGAACGGUAGCACAGAGAGCUUGCUCUCGGGUGACGAGUGGCGGACGGGUGAGUAAUGUCUGGGAAACUGCCUGAUGGAGGGGGAUAACUACUGGAAACGGUAGCUAAUACCGCAUAAUGUCGCAAGACCAAAGAGGGGGACCUUCGGGCCUCUUGCCAUCAGAUGUGCCCAGAUGGGAUUAGCUAGUAGGUGGGGUAACGGCUCACCUAGGCGACGAUCCCUAGCUGGUCUGAGAGGAUGACCAGCCACACUGGAACUGAGACACGGUCCAGACUCCUACGGGAGGCAGCAGUGGGGAAUAUUGCACAAUGGGCGCAAGCCUGAUGCAGCCAUGCCGCGUGUAUGAAGAAGGCCUUCGGGUUGUAAAGUACUUUCAGCGGGGAGGAAGGUGUUGAGGUUAAUAACCUUGUCAAUUGACGUUACCCGCAGAAGAAGCACCGGCUAACUCCGUGCCAGCAGCCGCGGUAAUACGGAGGGUGCAAGCGUUAAUCGGAAUUACUGGGCGUAAAGCGCACGCAGGCGGUCUGUCAAGUCGGAUGUGAAAUCCCCGGGCUCAACCUGGGAACUGCAUUCGAAACUGGCAGGCUAGAGUCUUGUAGAGGGGGGUAGAAUUCCAGGUGUAGCGGUGAAAUGCGUAGAGAUCUGGAGGAAUACCGGUGGCGAAGGCGGCCCCCUGGACAAAGACUGACGCUCAGGUGCGAAAGCGUGGGGAGCAAACAGGAUUAGAUACCCUGGUAGUCCACGCCGUAAACGAUGUCGACUUGGAGGUUGUGCCCUUGAGGCGUGGCUUCCGGAGCUAACGCGUUAAGUCGACCGCCUGGGGAGUACGGCCGCAAGGUUAAAACUCAAAUGAAUUGACGGGGGCCCGCACAAGCGGUGAGCAUGUGGUUUAUUUCGAUGCAACGCGAAGAACCCUUACCUACUCUUGACAUCCAGAGAACUUACAGAGAUGCUUUGGUGCCUUCGGGUACUCUGAAGACAGUGCUGCAUGGCUGGUCGUCAGCUCGUGCUUGUGAAUGGUUGAGAUUAAGUUCCCGCACGAGCGCAAGCCCUUUAUCCUUUUGUUUGCUAGCAUCCGGGCCGGGAACUCAAAGAGAAACUGACCACUGAUAACCUUGAGGAACGUGGGGAAUGACGUCCAGUCAUCAUUGCCUACGAGGUAGGUCUUUACUCAUCGUGUGCUUAACAAAUUGCGU